GAGUCGUUAGCUCAGUUGGUAGAGCAUCUGACUUUUAAUCAGAGGGUCGCAGGUUCGAUCCCUGCACGACUCA
rnacentral:tRNA from 1 species